rnacentral:rRNA from 1 species
CCUACGGGUGGCAGCAGUGAGGAAUAUUGGUCAAUGGACGCAAGUCUGAACCAGCCAUGUAGCGUGCAGGAUGACGGCCCUAUGAGUUGUAAACUGCUUUUGUACGGGGGUAAACGCAGAUACGCGUAUCUGUUUGUAAGUACCGUAUGAAUAAGGAUCGGCUAACUCCGUGCCAGCAGCCGCGGUAAUACGGAGGAUUCAAGCGUUAUCCGGAUUUAUUGGGUUUAAAGGGUGCGUAGGCGGUCGGUUAAGUUAGUGGUGAAAUCCCGAGGCUCAACUUCGGAAUUGCAGUUGAUACUGUCCGGCUUGAGUGUAGUUGAGGUAGGCGGAAUGUAGGGUGUAGCGGUGAAAUGCUUAGAGAUCAUAAAGAACACCGAUUGCGAAGGCAGCUUACCAAGCUGCUACUGACGUUGAGGCUCGAAAGCGUGGGGAGCAAACAGGAUUAGAUACCCUAGUAGUC